rnacentral:rRNA from 1 species
AUUGAACGCUAGCGGGAUGCUUUACACAUGCAAGUCGAACGAGUGGCGGACGGGAGAGUAAUAUAUCGGAACGUGCCCAGUAGCGGGGGUUAACUACUAGAAAGAGUGGCUAAUACCGCUUACUAUUGGAGCGGCAGAUAUCGGAUUAGCUAGUUGGUGGGGUAAAGGCUCACAAAGGCAACGAACCGUAGCUGGUGUGCGUGGACGACCAGCCACACUUGUACUGAGACACGGCCCAGACGCCUACGAGAGUCAGCAGUGGGGAAUUUUGGACAAUGGGGGAAACCCUGAUCCAGCCAUCCCGCGUGUAUGAGAAGGCCUUCGGGUUGUAAAGUACUUUUGGCUGAGAAGCGGUAUCUGCAGAAUAAGCACCGGCUAACUACGUGCCAGCAGCCGCGGUAAUAC